rnacentral:rRNA from 1 species
UGGGGAAUAUUGCACAAUGGGCGCAAGCCUGAUGCAGCCAUGCCGCGUGUAUGAAGAAGGCCUUCGGGUUGUAAAGUACUUUCAGUCGGGAGGAAGGUGGUAAGGUUAAUAACCUUGGCAAUUGACGUUACCGACAGAAGAAGCACCGGCUAACUCCGUGCCAGCAGCCGCGGUAAUACGGAGGGUGCAAGCGUUAAUCGGAAUUACUGGGCGUAAAGCGCACGCAGGCGGUUGAUUGAGUCAGAUGUGAAAUCCCCGGGCUUAACACGGGAAGUGCAUCUGAUACUGGUCAGCUAGAGUCUUGUAGAGGGGGGUAGAAUUCCAUGUGUAGCGGUGAAAUGCGUAGAGAUGUGGAGGAAUACCGGUGGCGAAGGCGGCCCCCUGGACAAAGACUGACGCUCAGGUGCGAAAGAGUGGGGAGCAAAAAGG